rnacentral:tRNA from 1 species
UCUAAUAUGGCAGACUAGUGCAAUGAACUUAAGCUUCAAAAAUGAAUUAUAAUUCUUUUAGAA